rnacentral:rRNA from 1 species
GAUGAACGCUGGCGGCGUGCCUAAUACAUGCAAGUCGAGCGAACAGAUGAGGAGCUUGCUCCUCUGACGUUAGCGGCGGACGGGUGAGUAACACGUGGAUAACCUACCUAUAAGACUGGGAUAACUUCGGGAAACCGGAGCUAAUACCGGAUAAUAUAUUGAACCGCAUGGUUCAAUAGUGAAAGACGGUUUUGCUGUCACUUAUAGAUGGAUCCGCGCCGCAUUAGCUAGUUGGUAAGGUAACGGCUUACCAAGGCAACGAUGCGUAGCCGACCUGAGAGGGUGAUCGGCCACACUGGAACUGGGACACGGUCCAGACUCCGACGGGAGGCAGCAGUAGGGAAUCUUCCGCAAUGGGCGAAAGCCUGACGGAGCAACGCCGCGUGAGUGAUGAAGGUCUUCGGAUCGUAAAACUCUGUUAUUAGGGAAGAACAAAUGUGUAAGUAACUAUGCACGUCUUGACGGUACCUAAUCAGAAAGCCACGGCUAACUACGUG